GAUGAAGAACGUAGCGAAAUGCGAUAAGUAAUGCGAAUUGCAGAAUUCAGUGAAUCAUCGAGUCUUUGAACGCACAUUGCGCCCUCUGGUAUUCCGGAGGGCAUGCCUGUCCGAGCGUCAUUGCUGCCCUCCAGCCCGGCUGGUGUGUUGGGCCCCGUCCCCCUUCCCGGGGGGACGGGCCCGAAAGGCAGCGGCGGCACCGCGUCCGGUCCUCGAGCGUAUGGGGCUUUGUCACCCGCUCUUGUAGGCCCGGCCGGCGCCAGCCGACCCCCUCAAUCUAUUUUUCAGGUUGACCUCGGAUCAGGUAGGGAUACCCGCUGAACUUAAGCAUAUCAAUAAGCGGAGGA
rnacentral:misc_RNA from 1 species